rnacentral:rRNA from 1 species
AACGCUGGCGGCAUGCUUUACACAUGCAAGUCGAACGGUAACAGGGAGCUUGCUCCGCUGACGAGUGGCGAACGGGUGAGUAAUGCAUCGGAACGUACCCAGUCGUGGGGGAGUAACGUAGCGAAAGUUACGCUAAUACCGCAUACGUCCUGAGGGAGAAAGCGGGGGACCGUAAGGCCUCGCGCGAUUGGAGCGGCCGAUGUCGGAUUAGCUAGUUGGUGGGGUAAAGGCCUACCAAGGCGACGAUCCGUAGCGGGGUCUGAGAGGAUGAUCCGCCACACUGGGACUGAGACACGGCCCAGACUCCUACGGGAGGCAGCAGUGGGGAAUUUUGGACAAUGGGGGCAACCCUGAUCCAGCCAUGCCGCGUGAGUGAAGAAGGCCUUCGGGUUGUAAAGCUCUUUCAGACGGAAAGAAAACGCAUCGGUGAAUACCCGGUGUGGAUGACGGUACCGUAAGAAGAAGCACCGGCUAACUACGUGCCAGCAGCCGCGUG